UACAGAGGUGGCAAGCGUUGUUCGGAAUUACUGGGCGUAAAGGGCGCGUAGGCGGCCUUCUAAGUCAGACGUGAAAUCCCCAGGCUCAACCUGGGAACUGCGUCUGAUACUGGAUGGCUUGAAUCCGGGAGAGGGAUGCAGAAUUCCAGGUGUAGCGGUGAAAUGCGUAGAUAUCUGGAGGAAUACCGGUGGCGAAGGCGGCAUCCUGGACCGGCAUUGACGCUGAGGAGCGAAAGCGUGGGGAGCGAACAGG
rnacentral:rRNA from 1 species